rnacentral:lncRNA from 1 species
AUUGUCUGACGUCGCCCAAUUGAUAGACCUUAGUUGAUAUGUUUCCGCCAUGGGAACAAAUAAAAUGUUACGCCCUUGAACAUUUUUAAAAGGUUAUGCCUCGUUAAAAACUCUCCCGCCUGGGGUAGAGAAAAGAGUGCAUACCUGUUGCUCCUUUCUUUUUCUGUACAUAAUGUUUUAUGCUUUGACUGUUUUUAGUCAACUCAUCACCUGUCAACUCGUCACCUUGUUAGCAUGCGAUAAAAUAUAACAUAACACAUUGACAAUAUCAAAGCUAGUUGUUCCCAUUCAUGACAAUUUUCAAUUUAAUUGAUGAUUCUUUCUUACAACUGGCCAAAUUGUAAAAAGAAAGAACAAUUAAAUUGAAGGGUAACUUUGCACAUUACGUUAGCAAGUUUGCAAGCAUUAAUCUGCCAUCUCUCUUAUUCACUGAAGUUUCUCACUUCCCACUACUUGAGUAGUAAUACGGUUUGAAAAACAAAAUAAUCACCUCCUCUAUUUUAAACUGCAGCUUAUCAAUAAUCAAUCUUCACAUAUAAAUAACACACAGUGGGUGGACUAAAUUAGUUUCAUAAAUAGUUACUCUAAUCACUUUAAAAUGGAUAUAGAAAAUUAGUAAUGCACCUUACCAAUAAACUGACUGUAUACCCAAAAUGUUUUAACUGCCACGCCCACUUUGAAAAAUUUAACCACUGCUCCACCCAAUGUUUUAAUUUUCACGCCCAAGUAAGAAAAACUAACCUCCAUCUCCUUUUAUUGAAAUUAAAAAUUUCAAUAACAAAACAUAAUCCUAACACUUGCACUCAUUUGAAAAGCAUACACUCGCACUCUUUCAAAGAAGAAUUUCGACACAGGAGCAGUUCAAGCAUAUAUAUACAGACAUCAUGUAUGUCACAAACUCAUCAUAUAAAUGUAUCUCGAGAAAGAAAACAUGUUUUAAGCACAGAUCUUUCAAAAACAGUGUUGGAAUAAAGAUCCUUCAAUCAGUCAAGAAUUAACAUUAAAAAAAAAUGGAGUCAAAGAACCUGAUUUACGGACAGCAAUGAAGCAAAUCAACUCUGCCAUGAAGGGGCUGAUAGGCGAAUCAAACUAUGGUUUACAGCGACCAAAUCGCGCAACCAUGAAAUUCUCUCCGUGAAGGACACUUUUGAAAUUCACCGACACAGAUGUCAUAUCUUUGCGCCUUUGAAACUUUGGAAGGGCGGUCCAAUUUGCGUCUAACUUCACUUUCCGCAGGUGCUAUUGUAAGGUUCAUAAUCAAAUGUAGCUCGCCCUUGACAUUAUGAACAUUAAUAGAGAAGUACUUAGCACAAUUAAGUAAAAGAAUUAACUAAUGACUAAUUAUCAAAGCAUUAAUUUCAAAAUGUAACCAGUGUCCUUAAGACAUUCACUUUUCCUGUAUCAAAGACAAUUUUUACAGCCUACUAAUCAACUACUUUGGAAUCAUAAGGCCUUUGUGUAUAUAACUUAGUCAAAAUUUUCAUUUUUGACAUAGUUAUUCAUGGAAAUCAAAGUCACGAUAUUUGAUUUCAUUAAUAUGCUCGCGUGGAGACUUGUGCUUAUUUUGGACAAGCUUAAAUCCAAUUUAAGGCUGUGCUUAUGAAUUCGUGGUCAAAUGCUCUUGUUUUAAGAGACUUACUCUUUCUCAAUUGUCUGACGUCGCCCAAUUGAUAGACCUUAGUUGAUAUGUUUCCGCCAUGGGAACAAAUAAAAUGUUACGCCCAUGAACAUUUUUAAAAGGUUAUGCCUCGUUAAAAACUCUCCUGCCUGGGGUAGAGAAAAGAGUGCAUACCUGUUGCUCCUUUCUUUUUCUGUACAUAAUGUUUUAUGCUUUGACUGUUUUUAGUCAACUCAUCACCUGUCAACUCGUCACCUUGUUAGCAUGCGAUAAAAUUUAAUAUAACAUUGACAAUAUCAAAACAUGUAAGAAGCGGACAAACAUGCAAAUUGUACAGGAACAAUAUUCAAAAUCCAAAACCUUAAAGAAAUUAGUUUUCUCAGUAUUAUGAAUGAGUCUUCUCAAUUACUAAACUAAGUAGCAAAAACACAAUGGAAAACUUCUUAUGAUCAAACUCAAACACACAACACCCAAACCUAAAGUUUUCUAAGUGAAAUGGCAGUUUAAGAAAAGAGUGCAUAAUGUUGUAUCCUUUGAUUGUUUUUAGUCAACUCAUCACCUGUCAACUCACCACCUUGUUAGCAUAA